rnacentral:lncRNA from 1 species
CUUUUACAUCCUUGUGAUAAUUACAAUAAAUGGCUCUGGGACCAGGGUUUGACUUGGCUCUGUGGCAAAGCCCUUGGCUAAAAUUGCAGAAGGACCUACAAUGUAAGAUAUAUGAUAGGAGGCACCAGCAUGACUCCAUAUACAGUCCAAUCCUCUUCUGCCAGAAGCACUCUCUAUCUUUUGCUGAACAUGAAGACUUCUGGGAAAGAGGAUAUAAUAGCAAGGCUUCUUAUUCUUACUACAUUCCAAUACAUUUAUUUUUCUAUGCACGACACGUCAUCAGGUAAGAAAACAGGUUGCAAUCACUUGGUUGCCUUUUUAUUUAUUUGUUUACUUACAUUCCAGCAGCAUUAAAGCUUCUGAGGGCUGACAGAUUUCCCAAAUUUCUCUAAUGAAAUGCCACUGGUUUCUAUGUAAAAGACAGACGGUAUAUGGUUCUCAAAGUUCUUUUUCCUUCAUAAACACAACUUUACAAAUACCUGCUGUGGCAGCUAAGCAACUUACUCUAUGGUAGUCAGAUAUCUAUCCCUUAGAUUAUCUAUUUCAUAUAAAUGACAGGGGAACAAUAGGGUUGCUGGAGACAUGUUAUAAAAUGGCCACCUUUAAAUAAACCCAACAGACAUUAAAGCUGGCAUUUGUAUGAAUUUAGAAGGUAGUAUAUUUAUUUAGGGAUUUUCAUAAUCUGAUUUAUUUGAUUGUUCACAACAGUUUCAACUCAAAAGAGAAAGUGUUGCUUAAUAACUUAUAUUUGACAAAGAAUGUUAAUGGAUGGGAUAAGAUAAAUUUGGUGAGUUAAUACAUUAAUUUUGGCACGGAAGAUUUCUUUGCCAUAGCC